rnacentral:rRNA from 1 species
GAUGAACGCUGGCGGCGUGCCUAAUGCAUGCAAGUCGAGCGAACGGACGAGAAGCUUGCCUCUCUGAUGUUAGCGGCGGACGGGUGAGUAACACGUGGAUAACCUACCUAUAAGACUGGGAUAACUUCGGGAAACCGGAGCUAAUACCGGAUAAUAUUUUGAACCGCAUGGUUCAAAAGUGAAAGACGGUCUUGCUGUCACUUAUAGAUGGAUCCGCGCUGCAUUAGCUAGUUGGUAAGGUAACGGCUUACCAAGGCAACGAUGCAUAGCCGACCUGAGAGGGUGAUCGGCCACACUGGAACUGAGACACGGUCCAGACUCCUACGGGAGGCAGCAGUAGGGAAUCUUCCGCAAUGGGCGAAAGCCUGACGGAGCAACGCCGCGUGAGUGAUGAAGGUCUUCGGAUCGUAAAACUCUGUUAUUAGGGAAGAACAUAUGUGUAAGUAACUGUGCACAUCUUGACGGUACCUAAUCAGAAAGCCACGGCUAACUACGUG